rnacentral:rRNA from 1 species
GACGGAGGAUGCAAGCGUUAUCCGGAAUGAUUGGGCGUAAAGCGUCCGCAGGUGGCAGUUCAAGUCUGCUGUCAAAGACCGGGGCUUAACUUCGGAAAGGCAGUGGAAACUGAACAGCUAGAGUAUGGUAGGGGCAGAGGGAAUUCCUGGUGUAGCGGUGGAAUGCGUAGAGAUCCGGAAGAACACCGGUGGCGAAGGCGGUGUGCUGGGCCGUAGCUGACGCUGAGGCGCGACAGCGUGGGGAGCAAACAGG